CAUAAAUGUGCCAAGGCGCGUGAGUGAAACCUCGUUAAGGAACUCGGCAAUCUAGCCCCGUAACUUCGGAAGAAGGGGUGCCCUCCUUUAUUGGAAGGGCCGCAGUGAAAUGGGUCGACCGACUGUUUAUCAAAAACACAGCACUCUGCUAACUCGCAAGAGAACGUAUAGGGUGUGACACGUGACCAAUGCGGAAAGAUUACGGUAAGUGGUUAGCGCAAGCGAAGCUACGAGCCCAAGUCCCCGUGAAUGUCGGCCGUAACUAUAACGGUCCUAAGGUAGCGAAAUUCCUUGUCGGGUAAGUUCCGACCUGCACGAAUCGUGUAACGAGUUGACCGCUGUCUCAACGAGGAGCUCAGCGAAGUUGUAAUGGCGGUGAAGAUGCCGCCUACCCGCAGCAGGACGGAAAGACCCUAUGCACCUUUACUGUACACUGUUACUGUGUUUUCGGUUUUCAUGCUUGGCGUAAGUGGGAGACUUUGAUACAUGCCCUUCGGGGUAUGUUGAGUCGCCAAUGAAACACCACCCUUGGGGACUGGAAACUCUAACCCUCAUCCAUCAACUGGAGAGGGGACACUGGCAGCCGGUCAGUUUUACUGGGGCGGUAUCCUCCCAAAGAGUAACGGAGGAGUACGAAGGUUGGCUCAACCCGGUUGGCAAUCGGGUGACGAGUAUAUGGAUAUAAGCCAGCCUAACUGUGAGACCUACAAGUCGAGCAGAUGCGAAAGCAGGUCCAAGUGAUCCGGUGGUUUGAAAGUGGAAUCGCCAUCGCUCAACGGACAAAAGGUACGCUAGGGAUAACAGGCUGAUCGAGUCCAAGAGCUCAUAUCGACGACUCGGUUUGGCACCUCGAUGUCGGCUCAUCACAUCCUGGGGCUGGAGAAGGUCCCAAGGGUCCGGCUGUUCGCCGGUUAAAGUGGUACGCGAGCUGGGUUCAGAACGUCGCGAGACAGUUCGGUCCUUAUCCGCUGUGGGCGCAGGAAAGUUGAGGGGUUUAAACCUUAGUACGAGAGGACCGGGUUUAACGAACCUCUGGUGUUCCAGUUGUCGUGUCAACGGCAGUGCUGGGCAGCUACGUUCGGAAGGGAUAAGCGCUGAAAGCAUCUAAGCGCCAAGCCCCUCCCAAGAUUGACUUUCCCCGAAGAGUCGUGGUAGACCACCACGUUGAUAGGUCGUAGGUCGAAGCGCAGUAAUGCGUGCAGCUUAGCGAUACUAAUAAUUCGUCCGGCUUGAUCUG
rnacentral:rRNA from 1 species